UACGGAGGGGGCUAGCGUUGUUCGGAAUUACUGGGCGUAAAGCGCGCGUAGGCGGACCUGCAAGUCAGGGGUGAAAUCCUGGAGCUCAACUCCAGAACUGCCUUUGAUACUGGCGAUCUCGAGUCCGGGAGAGGUGAGUGGAACUGCGAGUGUAGAGGUGAAAUUCGUAGAUAUUCGCAAGAACACCAGUGGCGAAGGCGGCUCACUGGCCUGUUCUUGACGCUGAGGCGCGAAAGCUAGGGGAGCAAACGGG
rnacentral:rRNA from 1 species